rnacentral:rRNA from 1 species
CAACUUUUAACAAUGGAUCUCUUGGCUCCGGCAUCGAUGAAGAACGCAGCGAAAUGCGAUAGCUAGUGUGAAUUGCAGAUUUCAGUGAAUCAUCGAGUCUUUGAACGCACAUUGCGCCUCUUGGUAUUCCUCGAGGCAUGCCUAUUCGAGCGUCGUUU